AAGUUGAAAAAUAAGUGUGCUUUUUUAGUAAUUUUCUGUUCUAAAUCUUUUAGAUUAUUGGUCCUUAAAAGUAUUACGAUUGUUAAAAAUAAAACUAGUUGUUAGUAGUGAAAUUAAAAAUAAAGGGUACUGUGUGACUGACGGAAACAAUUUGCCUUCUGAGAGAACGGUGUGCAAUAAAACCCAGCGGAAAAAGGCCAAACACGGCCUUUUUCCGUUUAUUUAGGCCCAAAUCCACAGACCAGGCGGCCCACGUGGACAAAUCUUCCCGACGGGACCUUCCCAUUUUCCCAGAUUCCCCUGAGCCAGAAAUCUACCCUGCUUGUUCU